rnacentral:rRNA from 1 species
AUCCAUGGCCAUACCACCCUGAACACACCUGAUCUCAUCUGAUGUCGGAAGCUAAGCAGGGUCUGGCCUGGUUAGUACUUGGAUCAGAGAAUUAAGACACAUGAACC